rnacentral:rRNA from 1 species
CCUGGCUCAGGAUGAACGCUAGCGGCAGGCUUAAUACAUGCAAGUCGUGGGGCAGCAUGAGUAGCAAUACUUGAUGGCGACCGGCAAACGGGUGAGGAACACGUACACAACCUUCCUUCAAGCGGGGAAUAGCCCAGAGAAAUUUGGAUUAAUACCCCAUAAUAUAUUUGAUAAGGCAUCUUAUUAAUAUUAAAGCUUCGGCACUUGAUGAUGGGUGUGCGGCUGAUUAGAUAGUUGGCGGGGUAACGGCCCACCAAGUCUACGAUCAGUAGCUGAUGUGAGAGCAUGAUCAGCCACACGGGCACUGAGACACGGGCCCGACUCCUACGGGAGGCAGCAGUAAGGAAUAUUGGACAAUGGACGAAAGUCUGAUCCAGCCAUGCCGCGUGAAGGAUUAAGGUCCUCUGGAUUGUAAACUUCUUUUAUAUGGGACGAAAAAAGGGCAUUCUUGUUCACUUGACGGUACCAUAUGAAUAAGCACCGGCUAACUCCGUG